AGUAACACGUGGGCAACCUGCCCUGCAGACUGGGAUAACUCCGGGAAACCGGAGCUAAUACCGGGUAAUACAUCGCACCGCAUGGUGCAAUGUUGAAAGUUGGCUUUCUGAGCUAACACUGCAGGAUGGGCCCGCGGCGCAUUAGCUAGUUGGUAAGGUAAUGGCUUACCAAGGCGACGAUGCGUAGCCGACCUGAGAGGGUGAUCGGCCACACUGGGACUGAGACACGGCCCAGACUCCUACGGGAGGCAGCAGUAGGGAAUCUUCCGCAAUGGACGAAAGUCUGACGGAGCAACGCCGCGUGAGUGACGAAGGCCUUCGGGUCGUAAAGCUCUGUUGUUAGGGAAGAACAAGUACCGUUCGAAUAGGGCGGUACCUUGACGGUACCUAACCAGAAAGCCACGGCUAACUACGUGCCAGCAGCCGCGGUAAUACGUAGGUGGCAAGCGUUGUCCGGAAUUAUUGGGCGUAAAGCGCGCGCAGGCGGUCUUUUAAGUCUGAUGUGAAAGCCCACGGCUCAACCGUGGAGGGUCAUUGGAAACUGGAGGACUUGAGUGCAGAAGAGGAGAGUGGAAUUCCACGUGUAGCGGUGAAAUGCGUAGAUAUGUGGAGGAACACCAGUGGCGAAGGCGGCUCUCUGGUCUGUAACUGACGCUGAGGCGCGAAAGCGUGGGGAGCAAACAGGAUUAGAUACCCUG
rnacentral:rRNA from 1 species